GAAAUCUUCAAAGUCAUCUAUGUUUCCUGAUAAAGGGGACAAUUAUUUGCCAUGGCACUAAGAUGUGUCAUCUUUGUGAAUAUGAUCUAGAAGAAAAAGCACAAUUAUUUAAAUAUGGCCCAUUUUGGUUUCUGAUAGAUUUGUUUGACACCUUUUCUUAUUUUGAGGUGUAGUAUGCUUCCAUGUACCUUUCCAGUAUAAAUUCAGGUCCUACCAUCUGGAGUGACUCAAAGUAAGGUUGGACUUCUUUUGGAAGACAAAAACAAACAAACAAAAAGCAAAAACAACAACAACAAAAACAAUUAUUCAAAUAUUUGAAGAUAAAUAUUGCUGCGAAAGGCCAUCAUGGACGUGAUGUGUAUUCUUCUGUUCUGCUUAAGCAUGUUCAUCAUAUGGCAUCCCCUGCUAUGUCUCUUCCUGGUUGGGAGGAAAUGGGGUCCUUCACCUGCUGCCCAAGACGGGUGCGUGCAAGUCAUCUCCUGUGUCGACUGUGGGACGAGACCCGCUGAUCAUAAGAAACUGAACUGAUACUCACUGUUGAAACUGGGCUUUCUCUGUUUCUUCUAUAUGAUAGUAAAGCAUUGUUCCAUCCAGUACUCGUGUGAGUCUUUCUUGGAGAUCCCAACACCUGCGAACCAUGCAGUAGGUUAACAUUCCAUGACUGCUGCUCCCAGUGGUAGGCACUGUUAUC
rnacentral:lncRNA from 1 species